rnacentral:rRNA from 1 species
UGCGUAGGCGGGUUUCUAAGUCAGAGGUGAAAGCCUGGAGCUCAACUCCAGAACUGCCUUUGAUACUGGAAGUCUUGAGUAUGGCAGAGGUGAGUGGAACUGCGAGUGCAGAGGUGAAAUUCGUAGAUAUUCGCAAGAACACCAGUGGCGAAGGCGGCUCACUGGGCCAUUACUGACGCUGAGGCACGAAAGCGUGGGGAGCAAACA